GCCUGGUAGCUCAAUUGGUCAGAGCGUCGUCCCGAUAUGUGAAAGUUGUGGGUUCAAUCCCCAGUCCAGGCA
rnacentral:tRNA from 1 species